rnacentral:rRNA from 1 species
UACGGAAGGCAGCAGUGGGGAAUAUUGCACAAUGGGCGCAAGCCUGAUGCAGCCAUGCCGCGUGUAUGAAGAAGGCCUUCGGGUUGUAAAGUACUUUCAGUCGUGAGGAAGGUGUUAAGGUUAAUAACCUUAGCAAUUGACGUUAGCGACAGAAGAAGCACCGGCUAACUCCGUGCCAGCAGCCGCGGUAAUACGGAGGGUGCGAGCGUUAAUCGGAAUUACUGGGCGUAAAGGGCACGCAGGCGGUUAAUUAAGUUGGAUGUGAAAUCCCCCGGGCUUAACCUGGGAAUGGCAUUCAAGACUGGUUAGCUAGAGUCUUGUAGAGGGGGUAGAAUUCCAUGUGUAGCGGUGAAAUGCGUAGAGAUGUGGAGGAAUACCGGUGGCGAAGGCGGCCCCCUGGACAAAGACUGACGCUCAUGUGCGAAAGCGUGGGGAGCAAACAGGGAUUAGAUACC